GAUGAAGAACGCAGCGAAAUGCGAUAAGUAGUGUGAAUUGCAGAAUUCAGUGAAUCAUCGAAUUUUUGAACGCAUAUUGCGCCUUUCGGUAUUCGGGAAGGCAUGCCUGUUCGAGCGUCAUAAUGACCUAUCAAUCAUGAAUUUAUUCAUGCUUGGUAUUGGGCGAGGAUCGAGCUUUGCUCAUUCCUGUCUGAAAUUCAAUGGCGAAGUCAUAUGUUCCAUUCAGUAUAGUAAUCAACGUUAUGUUUCACUGCUGGACAUGAUCGGCUUCUGUCACAAAUUGACUCCCCCAUUCUAAAAAUUUGACCUCGGAUCAGGUAGGGAUACCCGCUGAACUUAAGCAUAUCAAUAAGCGGAGGA
rnacentral:misc_RNA from 1 species